AUGAUAGGUGACUGAACAUAGAAUCCACAGAAAAAUUACAGCAGACACAGCUGUAUCAUAAACUUCACCCCACAAUUAUUCACCAUCCCUGACCUGAAAGAGUACUUCUAUGGGUAAGAGAGUAACUCAGUCUUCAUGGCCCAUUCAACCCUCGGCCUCU
rnacentral:sRNA from 1 species